rnacentral:sRNA from 1 species
ACGGACCCAGAGGCAGUAUUGGCAUUCUAUUCCGGGCUUAAAAUGGGGAUG